CAGUAGCCGCGGUAAAACGUAGGUCCCGAGCGUUGUCCGGAUUUAUUGGGCGUAAAGCGAGCGCAGGCGGUUUGAUAAGUCUGAAGUUAAAGGCUGUGGCUCAACCAUAGUUCGCUUUGGAAACUGUCAAACUUGAGUGCAGAAGGGGAGAGUGGAAUUCCAUGUGUAGCGGUGAAAUGCGUAGAUAUAUGGAGGAACACCGGUGGCGAAAGCGGCUCUCUGGUCCGUAACUGACGCUGAGGCUCGAAAGCGUGGGGAGCGAACAGGAUUAGAUACCCCGGUAGUCCCUGUCUCUUAUACA
rnacentral:rRNA from 1 species